AUACGGAGGAUCCGAGCGUUAUCCGGAUUUAUUGGGUUUAAAGGGUGCGCAGGCGGCCAUUUAAGUCAGCGGUUAAAUCGUGGGGCUCAACCCCAUUCUGCCGUUGAUACUGGGUGGCUUGAUUGCGGUCGAGGUUGGCGGAAUUCGUUGUGUAGCGGUGAAAUGCAUAGAUAUGACGAAGAACACCGAUUGCGUAGGCAGCUGGCCAGACCGCAAAUGACGCUCAUGCACGAAAGUGCGGGGAUCGAACAGGAUUAGAUACCCUGGUAGUCCUCACAGUAAACGAUGAAUACUUGUUUGCGGCGAUAUAAUGUCGGAGGCAAAGCGAAAGCGAUAAGUAUUCCACCUGGGGAGUACGCCGGCAACGGUGAAACUCAAAUGAAUUGGCGGGG
rnacentral:rRNA from 1 species